AGCGUGCCGUAUAUGCGCGGCAUGAUGCGCACUGCUGCAUUUUUCAGUGCCGAUUCACUCAAUUGUAGCCCACAACAGUUCUCGCGAAUGUUCCACUGACAACAUUUAUCGUCACGUCCUUCGGACAGCGACAUCAGUCCGCUUCGCAAAGCGCACUGUAUUUUUCACCGGAACUGCUCCAUGGCGCGGCACGCGCGUGCACGAGCAGCGCGGACUAAAAACACCGAUGGAAGAGCUGAAACAACGUUCAGUGCUUAGCGCCGAAGUAAGAAAGAGUCCGGGAUAAUUUCGAUUGUAGCUCCGUAAGGGAAUCAAAGUUUUGAAUUCUGAUAACAGGUACGGAAUUGGGUAAAACGCAAGUUGAAGUGAACUUGUCUUUGCAUUUUAGUGCCCCUAUAAAGGAGGUGCCUCAGGCCGAAAGCCCUCAAUAUUUCGAACAGAGGUUGUUCUUCUUCUGGACGAACAGGUUCGUGAAACUUGCUUUGUCAUUGGCAUUUCCCACGUCUGUUUGUUCCAAACUUGGAACAUGAUCGCACCCAAAUAUUAUUGUUCCGUGCUAUUAAUAUUCACCACUUUAUUUCAGGCUGUACUACAAGUCCACAAAGUGUACUGGACGUACCUGCUUUACAUGACAAAGAAGUAUUGCGGACAGAAGCACAUGCGCAUGCAGAGAACCGCCGCUUUGUCUCCCAAUCGAGGCAAGCUUACCCACGUUACGCCUCGUUAUCGAGUAGGGAACGUUCUUUCAUCACCUACCCCAGAGCAGCAAAGGGAGACACAGAAGAGAUGGCAAAGGCUGGCUUCUUCUAUACGGGGAACGAGGAUCGUACGACAUGCUUCCAGUGUGGUAACUCUAUCUGCAGUUGGGACAAUGAAGAUGAUCCGUUGCUUGAACACGCCAGGUGGUUCCCGGGCUGCCCAUACGUCGGAAUUAUGCUCGGCGAGAAAGUUAUGAGCAACGUUAUAGAAUCUCAUAAAAACUAAAACCAAUAAAAAAAAACAUAGAAAAGGA